rnacentral:rRNA from 1 species
GACGAACGCUGGCGGCGUGCCUAAUACAUGCAAGUCGAACGCAGUGGGGACGGGUGAGUAACACGUCGGUAACCUGCCCAUAAGAGGGGAUAACAUUUGGAAACAGGUGCUAAACCGAUACUGAUGGAUGGACGCUCGGUGCAUUAGCUAGUUGGUGAGGUAACGGCUAACCAAGGCAACGAUUCAUAGCCGGUCGGAGAGGGGGAUCGGCCACACUGGGACUGAGACACGGCCCAGACUCCGACGGGAGGCAGCAGUAGGGAAUAUUCGGCAAUGGACGAAAGUCUGACCGAGCAACGCCGCGUGAGUGAAGAAGGUUUUCGGAUCGGAAAACUCUUUUGUUAGAGAAGCGUUAUCUAAACAGAAAGCCACGGCUAACUACGUGCCAGCAGCCGCGGUAAUUC